CCCUUAGAUGUCCUGGGCCGCACGCGCGUUACACUGAUGCAUUCAACGAGCUUAUAACCUUGGCCGAGAGGCCUGGGCAAUCUUGUUAACGUGCAUCGUGAUAGGGAUAGAUUAUUGAAAUUAUUAAUCUUGAACGAGGAAUUCCUAGUAAAUGCAGAUCAUCAAUCUGCAUUGAUUACGUCCCUGCCCUUUGUACACACCGCCCGUCGCACCUACCGAUUGGAUGGUCCGGUGAAGCCUCGGGAUUGUGGUUCUUGCCGCUUUAUUGUGGCGUGACCGCGAGAACUUGUCUAAACCUUAUCAUCUAGAGGAAGGUGAAGUCGUAACA
rnacentral:rRNA from 1 species